AACGAACGCUGGCGGCAGGCCUAACACAUGCAAGUCGAGCGAGACCUUCGGGUCUAGCGGCGGACGGGUGAGUAACGCGUGGGAAUAUGCCCUUCUCUACGGAAUAGCCUCGGGAAACUGGGAGUAAUACCGUAUACGCCCUUUGGGGGAAAGAUUUAUCGGAGAAGGAUUAGCCCGCGUUGGAUUAGGUAGUUGGUGGGGUAAUGGCCUACCCAAGCCGACGAUCCAUAGCNGGUUUGAGAGGAUGAUCAGCCACACUGGGACUGAGACACGGCCCAGACUCCUACGGGAGGCAGCAGUGGGGAAUCUUAGACAAUGGGGGAAACCCUGAUCUAGCCAUGCCGCGUGAGCGAUGAAGGCCUUAGGGUUGUAAAGCUCUUUCAGCUGGGAAGAUAAUGACGGUACCAGCAGAAGAAGCCCCGGCUAACUCCGUG
rnacentral:rRNA from 1 species